CUUAGGCUUUAUAGAGAUAAGUAUCAUCCUCAUUUACACAAAACAAUUAACAAAGAUCUGUUCUGACAUUGAAUAAAGGCAGACCGUAAUGGGGGAAAAGUGGGUAGUAUAGCAGCAAAUGUUUUGCUCUAAGAGUCCAGAGGCCUCGAUUAUCAAGUGGGGCCAGGCGAUCAUAACCUGUGUCAUCCCGGCUUCCUUCUCUGCCAAAUGAGGGGGUUGUGCACAAUUUCUUCUCUGUGUUUACUUCCAGCUUUUGCAUUCUGUGACCUUACUGUUCGAUAAUCACUAUAAAUAUCGAUACUCUCAAAGUGGUGCAACUUUUUCUGAGUCACUGAAUUCUUUUGAUCUGGCUGUGCAUCUGCAAGAGCUCAUCCAUUGCCUGCAGAUAGCUACCAGCAGAAAGCUUCUCACUUGGUUACAACCAGUAAGAUAAACCUGUCCCCCAGAAAGUACACUAAGACCCUACACGUUCACAGUUUUUUUUUUAAAGAUUUAUUUAUUUAUUCAUGAGAGACACAGAAAGAGAGAGGCAGAGACAUAGGCAGAGGGAGAAGCAGGCUCCUCACAGGGAGCCCGAUGCGGGACUCGAUCCUGGAUCCCAGGUUCACGACCUGAGCCGAAGGCAGGCAGCCAACCGGUGAGCCACCCAGGCACCCCACAUUCAUGGUUUUGAUAGAGAACCCACUUCAUGGGCCAGCCAGAAGGGAGGGGAAAGAAUCUGAGGGCAUCUUUGGGCUCAUCCGGGCUUUGCAGAAAGACCAGAGCAAAAGGAGGCGGGGGAGGUGGGAUGGGGGGUGAAAUUACGAUUGUGGUGCAAGCUGGGCAGGAGUCAGACUCUGCGGUGGGGUGAUUUUCCCUGGCUGCCCCAACCCCUGUGAAGUGAAGGGAGCGUUGGCCGGAUCACUGGUCCUCACCCCUGUUCUUUCUACAGAUAAGAAACUGACCUGUGCUUCUGUCUUUACAGCCUCUGAUAUCACAGCGUCCCAGAUUCAGCAAAUUGUGAAGUGUCACUGCCGGUCUUCGUUGCAUCCAUUAUGUAUUAUCUUUGAACAUUACUCCGAGUGUGUAGACCUUCCUGUGACUAUGCUCCGCAUUUUCUUCUGGGCAGAGUUGGCAGAGGCGCUGUGCGGUCGCAGACACAGAUGCACGGGCACGCUCACACGGCGCAGCCAGAGCGAGGGGCGGCGGUUCAGGGGGCCCAGGAGGCUUCCGGAGAGGGAUCACCACUGCUGUGCAUAGGCGCAUACCCGGGGUACAAACCCCAGGCCCGUUCCAGCCACCGUUUGGGGAACUGAACUCAGCACAGUGGAAGGAUAAGCUUCAUUGCCUCUUCUGGCUUGAGAAUCUGGGUUAGUUUUCAGCUACCUCUUUUCUUUUGCCACCCGGAGCAUUAGCACAUCUCCAGGCACCCUUAAGCAACAGAAUGCAGUCCAGUGGGGGGGGGGGUGGGCAACCACUCAGAACUGCCCUAGCCAGGACUAAAAGCCUCGUGCUUUCUGCCCUGUGGCUGGCCACACUUCCUGCGUAGCCGGGCAGGCCAGGCCAGGCAGCCAGACUCAGACUUGGGCUGACCUGCUUGCAGCACUCCAGAACUCUGGCCCCCAGUCUGCGGGAUUCCAGCGAGGUGCCAUUUCCAUAUUCUCUGGCAAUAACUAAUUAGCGAUUAUAAAGCUCUUUGAAAUAUGAAGUGCUGCAUGAUAAUAUCUGUAAUGAGCCUGAUUCUUUCCCUCUUCCGUGGGGGGGGGGGGUGGAGUGGGGGGAAUAGGUUUUACACCCAUUAAGGGGGAGUUGUGCUGCAAAGCAGCUUCCCUUCCCCGAGGGGCAUCAGAGUCCGGGGCUGAGGGAGGGGUACCGGGGAAGGGGCAUGAGAAAGCAGCCCACUUUGACGCCUGCCCUUCUCGAAUAUUCUACCCCUGCCCCCAUCAGCUGCUUACCAGCUUCUCACUUACCCUCCCCUGGGUGGGAGCAGGAGGGGGUACUGAGGAUGAUGGAUGGAAAGGGGAGAAGAGAAAGGUGGAGUUAGGGUGAGCAGAAAGAGCGGGGCUCGUGGUCUCCUUAAUGUGAUUUAGAAUUUCAUAUUAAUAUAUCACCUCAGAAAAAAAUUAAUGAGAAACGUGAAGAAAAUAGGAUAAUGAAUAUGAUAAUAUAUGGGGAGUGCUUUGGGCUUCUUGGAACAAAGGUGCAAGGAAUUAUUGCUGUGAUUUUCUCACGGUGCAUAUAUAUUUUUAUUAAACUCUAA
rnacentral:lncRNA from 12 species